CGCCGCUUCGUCAACCUCAACAUCUGCACCUACAUCACCUUCCUCAGCUGGGUACCCGGCGCGCUCCGCGUGACCGAGCCCGAGCUCAUCGCGCACGCGGGCCUCGACUCCGCCGUCUACCUACGCAUCUACACGCUCGGGUACGUACGCCGCUACUAGCUCUUGAUUCUCUUCUCCCAAAUUCCCAAUUCCUCGCCGCUGGUUCAAGAAUUCAACUUCAAGAAUUGCAAUUCUGCUUGUUUCACAGUCGGACUUUUAGUUCGUUAGAGGUGCAUCCUUUUCUUGUUUGUACAGAUAGUAGAUGCGAUCAUUUCACUUUCAAGUAAAAGAGUGCCAGUAAAAAUGCAAUGUUUUUCUUCACACAUUUCCCCUCUUUUCUGUAGUAGCCAGCGAAUUUUCCUUUUUACUUUCUUCAUUUUCCUGAAUUCCUGCAAACGGCGCCGGCAUCUUCCUCACGAGUAAAUGACGGUUUCGAGAUUUCCCUGCCUUGCCAACUUUGCCUGCCUCUGCCUGGUUGGAUGCAUAUGCGGGAUUGCGUCUGGAUACUGCAUUCCUUCCAGCAAGUUGCUCCUUCGCAUGUUAAACAAUGCAGACCUUUCGGCCGCGCCGCUCGUGCUUGUUCCAUCGUCUCGCGGCAAAGAAAUUAGACGCCCGUCUUUACAGGUGCUCUAGAGAUUGCCUGCUGAAACAAAGAAAACCGGCACCUUUUCCCCUUCCAAAAAGAACCGCAACAUCUUUUCCUUCCAAAAAAGAACAUUAUUUUUUUACCUUCCACAAAAGAUUUACACUUGCGAUUGAUUUUUGAGUAAUAGCACAAUAUACUUGUUACUUACAUGCAUAAAUGCUUUUAUCUCAGAAGAGAGUAAAAAUAUUCCAUCACUCAUUGUUUAUCCAUGUGAGACUACUACUAUUGUUUCUUUUUAAAAAAAUACUGUAUGCAAUUGCUUGUGUUUGAUUACAUACAUCUUGGUGAUAAUGUUGUCCUUGGCACGUUUCGGCUGUGCUGUUAUCCCACUCGGUCGUGGUGUUGAAAAUGGUGUCGUCUAAUCUUGAUUUGAUCCGCACGAUUCCUGGCUUUGUUUCAGGAUAGCACAAACUUCUGUGGUUUUAUUAUUGAUUUCCUAGAGCCUAGUUGGACGGUUAGUAGUAUUCUAUUGCUAGGUAGUGGUCGCCCACUACAUGCCAACAACGCUUUCAGUUUCACGUUCAAGGGCCCGGGCAAACUUUGUGCCCCUGUCACUGUGAUUGUAGCGGCGCCAAGUCACCAACUGGUGAUUCUUGUUCUCUCAAUCUGUGGGGACCGGUUCUUACAAGUUACAACUGGAGAUGCUUUUCUUGUACUAGAUUGGAAAACUUUGGACGAAAAUUCAUGCGAAAGGUUUCCCUUUUCGGGUUGCAACUGUGGCCGAAGAUGGCAUGAUCAAAAAUUUCAUUUCACCUGGUGUCAUCGUCGGGUCUCUACUACUAGUAAUAAGAGUGAACGGGAGAAUAACUCCACCUGUCUACCACCAGCACCACCACGGAGUUCAUCAGUUAUUUAAUACGCAGCCUUCUACUUCACGUUUAGCCUUACACAUGGGCAAUGCUUUGCAUCUACACAAAAUGUGUGUGGGUAAUUUCAUCCUUAGUUUUAGGCUGUAAUCUUGUCUUGUGGCCUUUACCCCUCCCCCCCCCCCCCCCCCCCCCCCCCGCCCCUUAUUAGGAGGAAUAUCUUUAAUUGUGUUCCAAGAGAAGGAUCGAAAUGCUGCAUUUAUGGUCACUAAAGUGUCAUCUUUGUGCCUUCAAUAAAAAAAGGGUUUGUCUCAAUCCAAUAUGCUAACGGAUUUUUUUGUUGUCUCCUUGGCAGUCUCAAGAUGUUUUUGCCCAUUGCAGCUCUCGCACUGCUGGUUCUUGUUCCAGUCAAUGUAUCAGGCGGCACAUUACUUAAUCUAAAAAAAGAUGUUGUUUUCAGUGAUAUCGAUAAGCUUUCCAUAUCAAAUGUAAACCCUGGAUCCAACAGGUAAGAAUCUUAUGAACCCUAACAAUUUUUGCUCCUUAUACUAAUACAAAGUUCAGAACAUUUUCCAUGCCUACAACCUACUUGGCUACUAUGCUUGUUAGGUUGUAAGUUGUAACUAUAUAAAUUAUCUGACCGUUUUUGUUGCAAUUCAUUUCAGAUUCUUUGUUCAUCUCCUGAUGGCAUAUGUGUUCACAUUCUGGGUGUGCUUCAUGCUGUAUAAAGAAUACAGCAAUGUUGCAUUUAUGAGAUUGCAUUUCCUGGCUUCCCAGAAGCGUUGCGCUGAUCAGUUUACUGUAAGUACAUUGAUGAAGUAUGGUGUGAUACACUAACCAUAUACAUAUGAACCAUGCUCCACUGCAUUUGUGAUAGAUAACUAAGAAAAUAGUAGUUGAACACAUGCUCUAGUGUGGAUUUACUGAGUCAAACAUGUACCGCGGUUGUGCUAUAGCUUAAUAUAUUCACAUUUAGAACUGAAAUCCAAAGUAGCUCUGUAGCAUUUAAUGUUCUUUCGCAAUUCCAGGUGAUUGUUAGAAACAUUCCUCGCAUCUCAAGCCAUUCAACUUCUGAAACAGUUGACGAGUUCUUCCGAAGAAAUCAUCCAGACCACUAUCUUGGUCAGCAGGUACAUGGCCCUCUCCUUUGCUUAUGUCUCAUUCACCUUGCAUUUUGUCAGGCAUGAUUUUUGUUCAUUCUACUCUGUUUUCAACCAAUCACAAAUUAUGGUUGUUGAGAAAUGUGGUGAUUACAAAAAGGCAAAUUUGCUUUUUAUGGUCAGCCUGUUUACAACGCAAAUCGGUACGCUAAACUUGUGAAGAAAAGGGAUAGGCUUCAAAAUUGGUUGGAUUACUAUCAGCUGAAGUUUGAAAGGCAUCCUGAGAAAAGACCAACUAGAAGGGUAACUUCUCCAACAUUGCUUCUGUUCUUUGUUUCAUUUGCUCACGUACCAAGUUGUUCAACCAUGCUCACUCUAUAUUAUGCUUGCUAGGAAAUCCCUGAGCAUGUUGAUUUUUCCUGUGUUUCAGACAGGAUGCCUUGGUUUCUGUGGCAGGGAAGUGGAUCAAAUUGACUACUAUCAGGCUAGAAUCAGCGAGCUUGAGAGGAAGGUAAGUCUGCAGUUCUUGAUGAUAUGAUCUAUCAUCAAUGAUAUGCACAAUUCUAUAAGUAUGUGGACUGUAAAAGUCCUCUUUAUUUCUUGCGUGUACAGUUACGCAGGCUGUUUAUUGUCUUGAUAUUUCAGAUGGCAUCCGAGCGCCAGAAAGUUCUCAAUGACCCAAAAGCUAUUAUGCCGGUUUCUUUUGUUACGUUUGACUCAAGAUGGGGUGCUGCUGUGUGUGCACAGACACAACAGUCGAAGAACCCAACCCAAUGGCUGACUGAUUGGGCUCCUGAACCGCGGGAUGUUUAUUGGCAGAAUCUUGCCAUCCCAUUUUUCUCUCUCAGUAUCCGCAGAUUUCUGAUAUCCGUUGCGGUCUUUGCUUUGGUGUUUUUCUACAUGAUACCGAUCACAUUUGUGCAAUCACUUGCCAAUCUUGAGGGUCUUGAAAAAGUUGCUCCUUUUCUGAAGCCAGUAAUAGAAGUGUAAGGUUUCUUUUCCUGCACAUUGUUUCUUUUGCCUGAUACUAACUACUUAGAUGGGUCCAUUUAAUGAUUUUUCUUAUGCUUUCUUGAUUGGUUUGCAGAAAAGUGGUAAAAUCCUUCCUGCAGGGGUUUGUUCCCGGUCUGGCUCUGAAGAUCUUUCUCUAUAUCCUCCCUACAGUUUUACUGAUCAUGUCAAAAGUUGAAGGCUACAUCUCUUUAUCAUCGCUGGAAAGGAGGACUGCUUCGAAAUAUUAUUACUUCAUGCUGGUGAAUGUAUUCCUUGGAAGCAUAAUCGCUGGCACAGCCUUUGAACAGCUAUACACUUUCCUCCACAAGCCUGCUACACAGUAAUUCUCCUCAGACUUCGUUUCUUUUCCUGUAUAUUUAUGAACCUAAAAGUUAUUUUCUUUUGCUAUUCAAUUUAUGCGAAACAAGUAAAUUUCACUACUGUGUUCGGUUGUUAACUUCUCAAAGCUGUGUGAUAAAGAGUUUCUGAUGUAAUGCAUAGUCAUAACCUGUAACAUUGCAUAAUCUGUACGCAGAAUACCAAUGACAAUCGGAGUAGCUAUACCAAUGAAGGCCACAUUUUUCAUGACGUACAUAAUGGUUGAUGGCUGGGCUGGUAUUGCAAACGAGAUCCUUCGAGUGAAGCCUCUGGUGAUAUACCAUCUGAAAAACAUGUUUAUCGUGAAAACGGAGAGGGACAGGGAGAGGGCGAUGGAUCCUGGUAGCAUUGGGCUUGGAGAAAACCUUCCAACCCUGCAGCUGUAUUUCCUCCUUGGGCUUGUGUACGCCGUCGUCACCCCCAUUCUCCUGCCAUUCAUUAUCAUCUUCUUUGCCUUUGCUUUCCUCGUCUACAGACAUCAGGUCAGAUAUUCUGAUUGAUGCCACUUUUCACCUUCCCAAGCCUGUAAUGUCGAAUGACACUAACCUCAAUAACUCUCUCCUAUUUUUGUUUGUUGUUGGUUUCAGAUCAUCAAUGUUUACAAUCAGGAGUAUGAGAGCGCUGCUGCAUUUUGGCCUCAGGUGCAUUCCCGAAUAAUAGCAAGCCUGUUGAUCUCUCACCUAACUCUGUUUGGGUUGAUGAGCACAAAGGAAGCUGCUUUCUCCACCCCUCUACUCAUCUUCCUGCCACUGCUGACAAUAUGGUUCCACAAAUACUGCAAGAGCCGGUUCGAGCCUGCUUUCAGGAAGUAUCCGCUAGAGGUGAGCCAGUUUUGGAGCAACAUUCUUUCUUUCUCUCUGCUACGAGAUAGCUCUGAAAGCCUCCUCUAACCGUUUCUUAUGUUUGGAAAUUGAACUGUUUUGAUUUUUCAGGAAGCGAUGGAGAAGGAUAACAUGGAGCACGCGUCAGAGCCUAACCUGAACCUGAAAUCCUUCCUGGCUAACGCCUACCUGCAUCCCAUCUUCCAUCUUUUCGAGGAAGCGGCGAAAGAGGAGGAGACGGUGGAGGUGAGGAUCGACAAAGCCCAGAAGCAACAGCAUCAUCACCGUCAGGAGGAGGAGACUCAUGUGAGGAGCUCAUCUCAGUACCAUGAGGAGAGUCACUUGAGAAGCACCCACGAGACGCACUACCACCACGAGGAGAGCCAAUACAGCAGGAGCACCCAGUACCAUGAGGGGAUCCACGUGAGGAGCGACAUGGACUCGCCGUCGCCGCCGCACUUCGUCUAUCACUACGACAUCCAGCCCUGAAUG
rnacentral:lncRNA from 1 species